UACGUAGGGUGCAAGCGUUAAUCGGAAUUACUGGGCGUAAAGCGUGCGCAGGCGGUUUUGUAAGUCUGUCGUGAAAGCCCGGGCUUAACCUGGGAAUUGCGAUGGAGACUGCAAGGCUUGAAUCUGGCAGAGGGGGGUAGAAUUCCACGUGUAGCAGUGAAAUGCGUAGAGAUGUGGAGGAACACCGAUGGCGAAGGCAGCCCCUGGGUCAAGAUUGACGCUCGAUGCACGAAAGCGUGGGGAGCGAAACAGG
rnacentral:rRNA from 1 species